AGCAGCCGCGGUAAUUCCAGCUCCAAUAGCGUAUAUUAAAGUUGUUGCAGUUAAAAAGCUCGUAGUUGAAUUUCGGGACCAAUUUGUUGGUCGUGCCUCGGUACGUACUGGUAUUAUUGGUUUCUCCCUUCUGAAGAACCUCGAUGCCAUUAAUUUGGUGUCGUGGGGAAUCAGGACUGUUACUUUGAAAAAAUUAGAGUGUUUAAAGCAAGCAUACGCUUGAAUACAUUAGCAUGGAAUAAUGAAAUAGGACGUUUGAUUCUAUUUUGUUGGUUUCUAGGAUCGACGUAAUGAUUAAUAGGGAUAGUUGGGGGCAUUAGUAUUCAAUUGUCAGAGGUGAAAUUCUUGGAUUUAUUGAAGACUAACUACUGCGAAAGCAUUUGCCAAGGAUGUUUUCAUUAAUCAAGAACGAAAGUUAGGGGAUCGAAGACGAUCAGAUACCGUCGUAGUCUUAACCAUAAACUAUGCCGACUAGGGAUCGGAUGAUGUUAAUUUUUUAAUGACUCAUUCGGCGCCUUAC
rnacentral:sRNA from 1 species